rnacentral:lncRNA from 1 species
AGGGGCCAGGAACUGUGCUAAGCGCUAGAGACAAAGAACAAUCACAGAAUUUCUGCCCUGAAGCAGCUGGCAGAUCAGAGAAGACAAACACAUAAAGAGCUCAGUGUAAUACAGUGUGGUCAGCGCUACACCCUCUAGAUUGUGAAUGAAGGAUGGACAAGAAGAGGAGGGAGCGGAGGAAUGGCUGGAUGGCAGAGGCACGACAGAGGAACAAUUAUUUCUGCCCAGUGACACAGGCACCUUUACCGAGGAGGCUUGUUGGGUCCCUGAGCCCUCCUGGCUCAUAGUCUCGCUCCACAGCCAACAACGACAUGGACCCACCCUUUCUUCCUGAGCCAGGCGGUUGGAAUCACGUUGCAACUGAGCUACUGGCUGGUCAUCUUGCAGAAAGUCCAUAUCCAAAUGCUGGACCGGGUGUGUCACAUUCCGCCAGCAUCUUUCGGUUCAAGUACUCUCAGAAGUGCCCGCUGAAGAACAGGAGCCUUCUCUCCGGGGAGCCUGAAUUGUGUGGCUCGGGUUCUGUUCUUGGGGAGACCAUCUUCCGCUUGUUCUUUUCUCUUCUCUUGGGCCCCUCUUUUUCCUCCCCACCCCUCUCCCCCUUUCACCAAACAGAUGUAACUAUUUAUUCCUUAUGUCCUAGUUUUCCUGUAAUUUCAUAAAGUGCAAAUUUGCUG